GAUGGUAGUGUAUUGGACCACCAUGGCAGUCACGGGUAACGGAGAAUUAGGGUUCGGUUCCGGAGAGGGAGCCUGAGAAACGGCUACCACAUCUAAGGAAGGCAGCAGGCGCGUAAAUUACCCAAUCGCGACUCGCGGAGGUAGUGACAAGAAAUAACGGACCGAAGCCUAUGUUUCGGGAUUGCAAUGAGUAGAAUUUAAACCCCUUUACGAGGAUCAAUUGGAGGGCAAGUCUGGUGCCAGCAGCCGCGGUAAUA
rnacentral:rRNA from 1 species